rnacentral:piRNA from 1 species
UGGAUGUCGUGAUCAUGGAAUUUAGUGUCA